rnacentral:ncRNA from 16 species
CUGUGAUGUGUAUCACAUAAAAAUAAAGAUAUUUACAGGAGCAACCCAUGAAACUGAUUAACAAAGUUAUCGCUAUGUUCGAAAAAAUGAGUGUCUCAUUUGGUACCAUCAACGGUUAAUUAUUUCAUUAUUAAUCCGUAAAUCUUCACAAUAUUCUGGAUGAAAUUCAGUUGAUAGGUAAUGGUACUGAACCUCACGAAAGGUCAGCAGUCACGUAACAGCAUAAAUGUAAUUACUUGUUUCCGAAUUUGUUAUUAUUAGUCAAUAUAUCGUAUUUUGAUUUGUAUGAUCCUGAAUAUUUGCACUAA